GGAAAAUCAAGGAGUCUUCAUCCCUGAGAAACAUACCACUGGUGAUUAUGUCAUCUGAGAAUGUGCCUUCAAGGAUCAGCAGAUGCUUGGAGGAAG